rnacentral:rRNA from 1 species
GAUCCUGGCUCAGGAUGAACGCUAGCUACAGGCUUAGCACAUGCAAGUCGCGGGGUAACAUCUGGUAGAGCUUGCUCUUCCAGGAUGACGACCGGCGCACGGGUGAGUAACGCGUAUCCAACCUGGCCCAUACCACGGGAUAGCCCGUCGAAAGGCGGAUUAAUACCGUAUGCUGUCAUUAAGAGGCAUUUUUUGAUGACGAAAGGACUGGCGGUAUGGGAUGGGGAUGCGUCUGAUUAGCUUGUUGGCGGGUAACGGCCCACCAAGGCGACGAUCAGUAGGGGUUCUGAGAGGAAGGUCCCCCACAUUGGAACUGAGACACGGUCCAAACUCCUACGGGAGGCAGCAGUGAGGAAUAUUGGUCAAUGGGCGCAAGCCUGAACCAGCCAAGUAGCGUGAGGGAAGACUGCCCUACGGGUUGUAAACCUCUUUUGUUUGGGAAUAAAGUGCGGGACGUGUCCCGCAUUGCAUGUACCAUUUGAAUAAGGACCGGCUAAUUCCGUG